rnacentral:rRNA from 1 species
GAUGAACGCUGACAGAAUGCUUAACACAUGCAAGUCAACUUGAAUUUGGGUUUUUAACUUAGGUUUGGGUGGCGGACGGGUGAGUAACGCGUAAAGAACUUGCCUCACAGCUAGGGACAACAUUUGGAAACGAAUGCUAAUACCUAAUAUUAUGAUAAUAGGGCAUCCUAUAAUUAUGAAAGCUAUAAGCGCUGUGAGAGAGCUUUGCGUCCCAUUAGCUAGUUGGAGAGGUAACGGCUCACCAAGGCGAUGAUGGGUAGCCGGCCUGAGAGGGUGAUCGGCCACAAGGGGACUGAGACACGGCCCUUACUCCUACGGGAGGCAGCAGUGGGGAAUACUGGACAAUGGACCAAGAGUCUGAUCCAGCAAUUCUGUGUGCACGAUGAAGUUUUUCGGAAUGUAAAGUGCUUUCAGUUGGGAAGAAAGAAAUGACGGUACCAACAGAAGAAGUGACGGCUAAAUACGUG